rnacentral:rRNA from 1 species
CCUACGGGAGUCAGCAGUGAGGAAUAUUUGUCAAUGGGCGCGAGCCUGAACCAGCCAAGUAGCGUGAAGGAUGACUGCCCUACGGGUUGUAAACUUCUUUUAUAAAGGAAUAAAGUGAGGCACGUGUGCCUCUUUGUAUGUAUUUUAUUAAUAAGGAUCGGCUAACUCCGUGCCAGCAGCCGCGUUAAUACUGAGGAUCCGAGCGUUAUCCGGAUUUAUUGGGUUUAAAGGGAGCGUAGAUGGGUUGUUAAGUCAGGUGUGAAAGUUUGCGGCUCAACCGUAAAAUUGCAAUUGAUACUGGCAGACUUGAGUACAGGUGAGGUAGGCGGAAUUCGUGGUGUAGCAGUGAAAUGCUUAGAUAUCAAGAAGAACUCCGGUUGCGAAGGCAGCCUACUAAACAGCCACUGACAUUGAUGCUCGAAAGUGUGGGUAUCAAAAAGGAUUAGAUACCCCAGUAGUC